rnacentral:rRNA from 1 species
UACGUAGGUGGCAAGCGUUGUCCGGAAUUAUUGGGCGUAAAGCGCGCGCAGGUGGUUCCUUAAGUCUGAUGUGAAAGCCCACGGCUCAACCGUGGAGGGUCAUUGGAAACUGGGGAACUUGAGUGCAGAAGAGGAAAGUGGAAUUCCAAGUGUAGCGGUGAAAUGCGUAGAGAUUUGGAGGAACACCAGUGGCGAAGGCGACGUCCUGGACCGGCAUUGACGCUGAGGCGCGAAAGCCAGGGGAGCAAACGGG